UAAUUCAAGUGGCAGAGGAGCUGCUAUGAUCAGGAAGCUUGUGUACCCAGGUUGAUCUUGUCCAGUGCACUCCAGGUGUGCUGACCCCUCUGAUUUCCCCAAAUGUGGGAAACUUGACUACAUAAUUUGUGGAAUUGGGGGACAGCUGUGUUCCCACUCUCCCGUA
ensembl:snRNA U1 U1 spliceosomal RNA